rnacentral:lncRNA from 1 species
UUUCAAGCCCUCCCCUUGCAGAAACCCUAGCGACACCGCCCUAAUUCCCCAUCACCGGCGAUGGCGGCUCCGAUGCAACUGACCACCAAAAUAAUACCACAUGCUCCUCUCCUUCCCCUCUUUCCAAAUCCACUAACGGCUUCCCUCGAAUCUUUUCCUAACGCCUCUAAUAUUCUUUUAAAGUUUUUUCGGCCAUGACGCAACCUCCUCUAAAUUACCCAAAUUUACACCGGUGAAUCUCCUCCGUCUCCUCUUUCCAAUGACUUGAGAAUUACCCUUCGAAUCUGACUGGAAUCCCUUGAUUUCAAUUUGGAAUUCAGGUCAGCAUUCUAAUUUUCCCAAACCUCUUCAAAUCGAUACCAUGUGACCUCUUUGCCCCCUCCUGCGGAAUCUUUCUUCAUUGGCACCCAAACCUUGCCGGAAUCAGUUAAACUGUGGGAGAGAACCGUAGAGUCAAUACAGUUAAGUUAUCUAAUUUUGUUUUUAUUUUGAUUUUCUUUAUCUAUGUGAAUUAAUUCCAUGAUUGUGUUGUCUGAUUAGUUAUUAAUUCGAGCAUGUUUCGUUUUUUUUUUAAAAUAGAAAAGAAUGUUUACGUCAUUAGCUCAUUUUGGUUCUGGUUUCAUUUAUGUGUAUUGAUUCCAAUUGUUUGUUUGAUUUUAAUUUGCUCUAACUUUGUUAAUCUGUUAAUUAGUUUGUCAGUUUUGUUUGAAUUAGUUUCUGAUAUGCUUGUUUAAUUCAGUCUUAGUUCAAUUAGUUAAGUUUUAGUUUUUUAGUCUUAGUUUUAAUUUGGAUUUACUCGUCAGUAUUUCAAUUCAGAGCCUAGGGAAUUAUUUGAGUAUAGCUGCAUUAGAUUGGUAAUUUCAUAAUAAGCUAAGGGGCAAUGAGGGUAGCUCAAGGGUUUGGAAUCUUUUAAAAACUGAAAUAAGAAGUUAUAGAACACUAUAGAAUGUGUCUAAUUUGGAAUUUUAGGAAAACAUAGUGGCUUACUUGGGUAACAAGUUAGGAAAUAAGGGACUAACUGAAUAAAUAAAAGAAGGACUGAUUUGUAAAGUUCAAAAUCUGAUAGAGCCUCAUCUUUGCCUAUAAAAGGGCAUGCGCUUUGCUUCAUUCACAAGGUUUGGAGCCCAAAACAUUCCCCCAAAAAUCAUCUUCUGCCGUUCUGAAUUUCAAAUUUGAUUUUCAAAUUCAAAUUUAUAUCUAGUUCUUCAAAAACCAAAAAAAAAAAGCAAUAGAAAAAUCAAAAAAGCUACUGUUACAUUAGUUUCCUUAGUUCAUUUUCUAAAUUCCAGUAUUCUGUGCAAUUUUCUAGCUCAGUUAGGAUUCAAGGUUACUGGAAUCUCUAUUUCUGUUCGAUAAUUGGUGGUUUAAAGGUAGGUCGAGUCAUUUACGCAUUGGAUUUGGUAAUUCGAGUCAGUUGUGGAUUAUCUGUUAGAGUGUGUUGAUCUACUGGGUUUAUUCUGGUCAUUUUGGCGCCGUUUUAGGUUGCUAUAUUAGUCUCUUUUGAUUUCUAGGUCACUGAGUCAUUUCUGAGCUGAGAUUGACUGGAUUUAUCGCUUUUUGCUGCCGUCUGUUAUCUGUUGUUGUUGAUCUGUCAUUCUUCUUAUUUCCAAAAUUCCAGGUACACAUAUCAGGAUUUUCUCAAUGUAUCACCUCUUGUUGAAAAAUAAAAACGAAACAUAAGCUUCUGAUGUAGAUCUACUAUUUAUUAAUUCUAUUACGUUUGAAUGAUCUACUUUUAGGACUUUAAAAGUGAUUUGGAGUGUUCUUUUGGAUUUCCAAUUUGUAGUAGUUGUUGAGCUCUAUAAUCGUAUACAAUUUCGUCACUGGAACUAGUAGGCUGUAGUAUUACAACAGAGCAAAAAAGCAAUCAUUGAGAUCUCAAAUAAUUGGACUUUUGUAUGAAGUGUGUUAACUGAACUGAUGAGUUAAUUCGAGUAUAGAUUGUACGAGUUUUGUUUUAUUUCAUUAGUGUCAUCUCAGCUUUAUAGGAAAUCCAAAAUGGGUAUUAUCAAGUGCAAAUUUGAUUAGGUAUUAUAUUAUCGCUUUGUUAAUUCACAAGCCCAAACGUGGUAAAAACCAAAGGGUUUGGAAUUGAAUUGGUAGUGGUCCUAUGAUAUUCUGCCGAUGGGUCCAAAGACAAGGCAAACGGAUAUUUAGGCUUGUUAGUAAAUUGGAGUCAAUCCAGAUUGGGAUUUUGUUAACGUAUGGUUUAGCCUUGAUCGAGUGUUGCAUUUUUUCCAUUUGGGCUUUACAAAGGCCAUGCUGUGGAUGACCGUUCACGAGCAGUGAGGAUGUUUGUAUAAAUCACGGAGCUCGAAGUCAAUUCAUGACAUAAUAAUAUAUUGAACUUGUUAAUUAAUUAGUACCUUUCUUUUAAUUGUAGAGACAAUAAAAAUAGAAAAUCAUAGUUGCUUUUAGGUUUGCUUUUUAAUAAAAAUGUGACGAGCCUUGCCAAAUAAAACGCGUAACUUGCAGGGCCCACUUUAAUUGUUCAUGUUAAAAUACUUAGAAUUCGGGAUGAGCGCGUAACUUGUAGGGCCCUCUUUAAUUGUUCAUGUUAAAAUACUUAGAAUUCGGGAUGAGCCUUAUAGUGAAUUUCAUGGAUUUCCCCAAAUAUAACAGCGCGUUAGUCUCGUUAGAAAUGCGGUUUUAAUAAAAUUACCUUUCUAAACUCGGUUGUGCAUUUUCAUGUGACCCACAUCAAUUCCCAAAAUAUUGAAUAAAAAUGUGUUUAGGAUUGCGGGUGUAUUUCAUGUGACGCAUUCCAAAUACACAUUUUAAACGACGUUCAAAUUUCUUUAAAAAUUAAAUAAAAAGCGGAUAAAAGUUAAAAUUGGUACGUAAGUUCAUCAUGUAAUAAAAUUAGAUAAAUAAGUCAAACAUGAUACUUGAGAGACCGUGCUAGAACCACGCAACCCAGGAAUGCCUAACACCUUCUCCCGGGUUAACAGAAUUCCUUACUCGAAUUUCUGGUUUGCGGACCCUGGGAAUGCCUAACACAUUCUCCCGGGUUAACAAAAUUCCUUAUCCAGAUUUCUGGUUUGUGGACUGUUAAUAGAGUCAUAUUUUCCUCGGUUCGGGAUUCAACCGGUGACUUGGGACACCAUUAAUCUCCCAAGUGGCGACUCUUAAAUCUUAAUAAUAACAAAUUCCGUUCUGAUUGUACUUUAAUUGAAAAAACUCCUUUAUGCCCUUGCGGGUGUAGUGAAAAGGGAGGUGUGACAUGACUAAACUACCCUUUAUUAAAUAUUGUACCAUAUAAAAUACUAGCACUUACUUUUAAUCUUAAAUGUGAUGAGUAAAUGACUUUUUAGGGAUAUGUACAUAAGGUAAUUUUGAAAAAAUAAAUUGUAUUUUUUCUUGAUUAUAUAAAUGAACACGAAUUUUGGAUCAAAAUAAAAAAGCCAAAUACAUAGACAAGCCAUUAAACUUGGCCCAAUUUUUCAUUUUCGCACUUUAACUCAGUUUUGUUCCAUUUUGUCCCUCCAACACCAUUUCUUUUGUUCCACUUUAUAACGACCCGAUCGGUCAUUUUGGGAUUUUGUAAUUUGCUCUCUAAUUCUCAGGCAUGACUUGCCCUGUGUGGUGUAUAAUUACAUAUGUAAAUCAUUGGUGUUGGUUUUCCGGUUAAUUAGAAUGAAUUUGGAAGAACAGUCUCAGUUGAAAGCUUAAAAUUUGAAAGGUUUGACCAAGAUUUGACUUGUUUGUAUUUGAUCUCAGAAUGGAAUUUUUAUGAUGUGGUUAUCUCCGUUAGGUGUUUGAGACUUAGGAACGUGAUCAAAAUAGAUGUUGGAAGUCCGUUGAAGGUUUAGGCUUGAAUUGGAGAAAUUGAGAUUUCUGCGUUUUUCGGUUGAUAGGUGAGAUUUUGAUAUAAAGGUCGGAAUGAAAUUUCAAGAGCUGAAGUAGCUUCGUUGUGUCAUUUACAAUGUGUGUGUAACAUUUCUGGUCAUUCGGACGAGGUUUGAUAGACUUUUUGAUCGAAAUCAUAAUUCAAGAGUUCUUGGUGUUCUUAGGCUUGAAUCAUAUGUUUAAUUGGUAAUUUGAUGUUGUUGUGAGCAUUCCGAAGUUUUGAACAAGUUUGAAGGACGUCAUAGGGUAUGUUGGAACAAUUGGUUUGAAGUUAUGGGAGUUCCGGGUAUGGUCCAGAAAGGUUGCAGGCCUCAGAACUCACGCGUGCGGUUCGCGCAAAAAGAAAUGCGUCCGCAGUAUGUGCAGUGCGGAACACACAAAAUGAAGUGUGGCCGCGGUGAGGAAAAAUUUCACUGGUCCUACUUCGGAAGCUCAUAUCUUUUGAUCCACAAUGAAUUUUGAGAUGAUUUAACGAAAGUUGUAUUCCUUCAUGUCUAGUUUCCAGAAAGAUAAAGAUAUUGCAAUUUGGACAUUUGUAGCAAAUGUUAUGUCCAAAAUACUAAAGCAUGUCACUGUAUAGGAAAACCUGUGCGGCCGCGGUCGUAUUUGUGCGGACCGCGGUCGUUUUUGUGCAGUCCGUGGAGGUGAAAAUCAGAGGGGUACUCUAUAAAUACGAGAUUUUGGGUUUUAUUUUAUAUUUUGACCAAGAGAGGUCGGAUUUUGCGAUUUUUUGAAGGUUUUUUAAAAAAUUCAUUGGGGUAAGUGAUUCUAACUUAGAUUUGGCUAGAGUAAAUGAAUCUAUCAUUGAAUUCAUCAUUUAAUUUGUGAUUUGGGAUGGAAUUUGGGAAGAAAAUUGUGAAAUCUUUCCAAAAUGUAAAAUGAUGAUUUGAAGGACCAAAUGAUAUCGGAAUCGGAUAAUUUUUGUAUAGUUAGACUCGUGAGAGUAUAAGGAUUCUAGUUUUGUGAAUUUUUGUCAAAUUCCAUGAUGUGGGCCUGGGAGUUGGGAUUACCAAUUUCGGUAAUUUUGUGGUAAUUUGAUUAUAUUCAAGUGGGCUUUGUUCCCAUAGCACAUUUUGAUGGUUUGGUACUGAUUUCGGCUAGAUUUGGAGCAUCCGGAGGCCGAUUUGAGGGGAAAGGCACACGAGCUAG